CGCUGAAGUGAUCAGUUUGUGAAACUCAGCCGUCAGGCUGCAGAGCUUCUUCCUCCAAGUCUUCUUCUUCUCUUUGCAUCGACGCUGCAGCUCAUCGUCAAGGAAACAAAUGAAGAGAAAACAGACAUUUGUCACAUUUCAACUGUAAAAUAAACUCUGAGUGAUUAUUGUGAUUAAACAGAUGUGUUCAUGAUCAUCAUGUCGUCUGUCCAGACCUGCUGAAGAGAAAUGAGGCUGCAGUGACGAACUCAAGAGCUUUUAUCACUGGAUCCUCAGAGAAAAACAGCUUUUUAGGAUGUUUACUGAUAAAAACAGAACUAAAGUCACAGCCAGUGAGAACAGCAACAAACAAAAGGUAGAUGAAGCACUGAGGACGAGUUCAGCUGUUUGAUGCAGGAUUCAUUUCCUGUUUUAUGAACUGAAACUGAACAUCCUGAUUCCAGUAAAUAUAAAGUUCUUACUGUGUUUUUCAGCAGCAGCAGCCUGUGUGCAGCGUAACACAGGUGUGAUCUUAGAAUACCGUCACUGAAAUGCUGUUUACACAAAACUAAACUCACUAAACAGGUUCCAUGUUCUGACACAAACACUCACAUAUGAAUUAUUAUUAACUCAUUCUGUGUAAUGUUUGUUUUUAGUGUGUUGAUCUGCUCAAAGUGGAUCCUAUUUAUUGGAUGAACACAUGAGUUGAAUUUCUGAUCGUUCCGUGUUUUCUUGUCUCUGAUCUCUUUGUGAGGUUCUUUAAAGGCGUCAGCGUUUGUCCUGGAGGCUCCUGCAUCACUGUGUGGCCGCCAGCUGCUCGGCUGCAGAGAGGAAGGCUCUGCAGAGGCUGCUGAAGGCUGCACAGAGGAUUGUGGGGAGCAGCCGAGCCACCGCCACAGACAUCUCCAGCAGCAGAUGCAGGAAGAGGCCUGUCUGAAACAUGAAGGACUUCAACCGCCUGCACGCUCCCUCUCUGGCCCUCUGGCCUCAGGCAGGAGGCUGCGGAGCAUCCGGAGCAGGACCAGGAGACUGAAGCUGUUGGACUGUUGAACUCCGCUGCUGCUCUGUAGCUUCUCCACCGACCUGCAACCACAGACACUUUAUUUCCAUGUGCAACUCAGGCCACCUGGCCAGAUGGAGCCACCUCACGGCACAGUUUGACUUUAUAACCUCUUCAACCACAUUUUGAACGCAUCUCUAUUUAUCUGUGUACAGCUGGUCAACCUUUGUUUAUGUUGUGUUUAUAGUGCUCCUGUUUUGCUGUAGCUCCUUUAAAACGGUGAUUUUGGGGACAUUUAGUGUUUGAAACUAAAUCAUCAGUUCUGUG